rnacentral:rRNA from 1 species
UGCCAGCCGCCGCGGUAAUACGGAGGUUCCUAGCGUUGUUCGGAAUUACUGGGCGUAGAGGGAGCGCAGGCGGAUAGGUCAGUUCAAAGUGGAAUCCCAGGGCUCAACCCUGGACGUGCUUUGGAUACUGCCUGUCUUGAGUUCGUGAGAGGAAAGUGGAAUUCAGGGUGUAGCGGUGAAAUGCUUAGAUAUCCUGAGGAACACCAGUGGCGAAAGCGACUUUCUGGCACGAAACUGACGCUGAAACUCGAAAACAUGGGUAGCGAACGGGAUUAGAUA